CCCGUUGCCCCCACUCAGAAUUUACAUUGGUAGGUGCAUAAUACAGCGGCUGUAUGCAUGUGUGUACGCAUAACUUUUUGAUAUACCGGUAUGUAAAUGAACCAAUUUGAAUCCACCUAUUAGCUCUAUACAGCUAUUUCAAUUAAAAGCUGUAUACAGCUAAUAGGUGGAUUAAAGAAUUUUUUAGCGAUUACCAGCAGCCUUUUGCGCCUGUAUUCGACUUUUUUGUUUUGCUCCGGGACAUCCUUAAUUGAAAUAGCUGUAUACAGUACUAGGAUAUGGCCAUGUAUAGGUUAUCAGGGGCGGCGGAAAGUCGAUAAUUGGGGGGGCUGAUAUUCAUAUAUUCAUGUUCUGCAUCAUUUAUUUCCUUUGAAAGUGAUUGUUUUUACAGUCUGUGAACACGAAUAUAUGAAUAUCAGCCCCCCCCCCCACAAUUAUUGACUUUCCGCCGCUCCUGUAGGUUAUUGGUAAAUAUCAAGAUUUUGUUGACAUCUCAGUUGAUCGAAUAUCCACUGAAUUAAAUAUAUAAAUUUCCACUCGAUAAUUUCCAUCUACAACACCUUCAUUUUCACAUAAAAUAUUAUAGCUAGUAGCUGAUUGUUCCACUGCUUCCACUUGCCCAACACUAAAUUUCC